rnacentral:rRNA from 1 species
GAUGAACGCUGGCGGCGUGCCUAAUACAUGCAAGUCGAGCGAACAGACGAGGAGCUUGCUCCUCUGACGUUAGCGGCGGACGGGUGAGUAACACGUGGAUAACCUACCUAUAAGACUGGGAUAACUUCGGGAAACCGGAGCUAAUACCGGAUAAUAUAUUGAACCGCAUGGUUCAAUAGUGAAAGACGGAUUUGCUGUCACUUAUAGAUGGAUCCGCGCCGCAUUAGCUAGUUGGUAAGGUAACGGCUUACCAAGGCGACGAUGCGUAGCCGACCUGAGAGGGUGAUCGGCCACACUGGAACUGAGACACGGUCCAGACUCCUACGGGAGGCAGCAGUAGGGAAUCUUCCGCAAUGGGCGAAAGCCUGACGGAGCAACGCCGCGUGAGUGAUGAAGGUCUUCGGAUCGUAAAACUCUGUUAGUAGGGAAGAACAAAUGUGUAAGUAACUAUGCACGUCUUGACGGUACCUAAUCAGAAAGCCACGGCUAACUACGUG